rnacentral:rRNA from 1 species
AGAGGAAGUAAAGUUGUAACAAGUUUCCGUAGGUGAACCUGCGGAAGGAUCAUUA